CGCGCACCUUAGGUACCUUUUUAUUUACUAAUUUCCUGCAACCAAUAAUUGCAAUCGACGACCUGGCAUUCAAACGGACUUUUGACGGACAUUCCACAUACGCGACUGGCAAUUAAUAGGACUCCGACAAUUACUCACGACGACCUGGCUUGGAUUUGGACUCGAAAAUCCGCUACAAUUUGAUACGCCGUACCGUACGCUUUCGAAAACAGAAGUAAUGCAGAAAAAUGCCGCCCACGUGUUCGUAUUACCAAUGCAAGGCCAUGACCGGUCAGAAGUCGAUGUUCCGCUUCCCAACUGGCGACAGUGCUCGAUUGCAAACUUGGAUUGACAACUGUGGUAACAUGACCAUUGCCCACUUGUCUCGAGAUGCUCUUCGUCACAAAUAUGUCUGCAUUGAUCAUUUCGAAAAGCGGUUCAUUCAAAUGAUUGAAUAAGUUAGCCGUACCUGUCCAUUACAAAGGAGAUCCAUCGACAGAGAACUUCCCAGAUUCACCAGUUGCGUCAACAUCAGAAGGCCAAGGACCGACAGAAUUAAAAGUAUUAACACCAAAAAAGUUUACCCUGGUGUUAAAAAUCAAGAAGAAAAUGAGGAGGAAAUAUUUACGACACCGAAAAAACGCAAGCGACCAGCCGAUAGCGACACACCG